GACGAACGCUGGCGGCGUGCCUAAUACAUGCAAGUCGAACGCAGUGGGGACGGGUGAGUAACACCUGGGUAACCUCCCAUCAGAGGGGAUAACACUUGGAAACAGGUGCUAAACCGAUACUGAUGGAUGAACUCGCGGUGCAUUAGCUAGUUGGGGAGGUAACGGCUCACCAAGGCCACGAUGCAUAGCCGGCCUGAGAGGGUGAUCGGCCACACUGGAACUGAGACACGGUCCAGACACCUACGGGAGGCAGCAGUGGGGAAUCUUGGGCAAUGGACGAAAGUCUGACCGAGCAACGCCGCGUGAGUGAAGAAGGUUUUCGGAUCGUAAAGCUCUGUUGUUAGGGAGGCGGUACCUAACCAGAAAGCCACGGCUAACUACGUGCCAGCAGCCGCGGUAAUUC
rnacentral:rRNA from 1 species